GAUGAACGCUGGCGGCGUGCUUAACACAUGCAAGUCGAACGGAAAGGCCCAAGCUUGCUUGGGUACUCGAGUGGCGAACGGGUGAGUAACGCGUGGGUGAUCUGCCCUGCACUUCGGGAUAAGCCUGGGAAACUGGGUCUAAUACCGGAUAGGACCACUUCUUGGAUGUUGUGGUGGAAAGUUUUUUCGGUGUGGGAUGAGCUCGCGGCCUAUCAGCUUGUUGGUGGGGUAAUGGCCUACCAAGGCGUCGACGGGUAGCCGGCCUGAGAGGGUGUACGGCCCCCUUUGGACUGAGAUACGGCCCCGACUCCUACCGGGGGCCGCAGUUGGGAAUAUUGCCCCAUGGGCGCCAGCCUGAUGCAGCGACGCCGCGUGGGGGAUGACGGCCUUCGGGUUGUAAACUCCUUUCGCUAGGGACGAAGCGUUUUGUGACGGUACCUGGAGAAGAAGCACCGGCUAACUACGUG
rnacentral:rRNA from 1 species